CCUACGGGAGGCUGCAGUGGGGAAUAUUGGACAAUGGGGGGAACCCUGAUCCAGCCAUGCCGCGUGUGUGAAGAAGGCCAUCGGGUUGUAAAGCACUUUCAGUGAGGAAGAACGCCUGGUGGUUAAUACCCAUCAGGAAAGACAUCACUCACAGAAGAAGCACCGGCUAACUCCGUGCCAGCAGCCGCGGUAAUACGGAGGGUGCGAGCGUUAAUCGGAAUUACUGGGCGUAAAGCGCGCGUAGGUGGCUUGAUAAGCCGGUUGUGAAAGCCCCGGGCUCAACCUGGGAACGGCAUCCGGAACUGUCAAGCUAGAGUGCAGGAGAGGAAGGUAGAAUUCCCGGUGUAGCGGUGAAACGCGUAGAGAUCGGGAGGAAUACCAGUGGCGAAGGCGGCCUUCUGGACUGACACUGACACUGAGGUGCGAAAGCGUGGGUAGCAAACAGGAUUAGAUACCCCAGUAGUC
rnacentral:rRNA from 1 species